UAAAGCUGAGUGACUUUAAGUAUAGGUUACUUAGCUUGGUAGUGGAUGAGAAAGGACUUGAGCCCUUCGUUUCUCAAUCCUAUCUGGUUGCUCUUAACACAGGUACAGAAAAGUUUUUUUGCUUUUGGCAAAAUGUAUGACAUGAGCAAUACUUACUAUGGAGGGAAAUUAGGCCAGACAAGUGACAUGAAAUAUGCUGUAUUUUCAUGUAUUCAGCAAAUUGGGGGCUAUGUACCAGAUGUGCUAGAUUCUUGUAAAUUGUAUUAAGAAGACAAAGCCUUAAGAAUCAAAGGACCACUAAGCAGGAAAAGUUGCGGGUUUUGGAAAAAGUUUAGAAAUAUUCUUUAAUACUGAAGUUUCUAUCUUGGAAGAUGCUUUGUCCAAGCUCUGCCCAUCCCACUAUACCACUAAUCCCAUUCCUCUCUCUAUCCCUUAAGGAAAGAUGAUGGCUUUCUUAGGCUAUAAGUGUAACAUUUAAUGAAUGUAAACUGGUCCUCUUCCCUUUUCACCAUCCCUUCCCUAACACUUCAGUCAAAAAGCCAUUAAGUGGGGCUGAGCAAGGUAAAGCUGUCAUGACCCAGAGCUGGGUGUCACUAAAACACAGUGAAGAAGAGCAUUGUGAAGGAGCAGCCCAAAUGAGUGUGAGGGUUGAUCCAUGCAGAAAGGAGGCCCAUUCAGGAUGUCUGAGCACAAGGGGUGGAGGGGAGGUAUCUGUACAGUGGGUGGUGCCCCAAAAGGGAUAUCAGCCUGAGCAGGGUGAAAAGAGCAUUUGUACAGGGACAGUCCCAGCAUGAGUUGUCAGAACCUGAAUGGGGUAAAAAGGGCUGUGUAGAUGGCGGUGGCAGCAGCAAUGGAAUAUUGCUUACAUUCAGGGAUAUUGAUCUAAAGUAAAUAUAUUUGUGAUAAUGGUAUCCGGUUUCUCACUACCCUAGAAGGGGUUAUAAACACGAAGAGAGAAAACUAGAAUGAACUUUGUAGUGUUGGUUUGGAACUGGAGUUACUGGUAUAAACUCAUAUGGUUUUCAAGAUAGAGAAAUGAUAAUAGAUGAAAAUGUGUGUUUUUGUGCACACGUAUAUUUUGAUUCUGUCCAGUGAGAAGACUUGGGAUCAGUGACACUCCAAUGAGCAUACCUGGCACCUAGAUCUUAGUUUCUUAAUAUAUUCUUCACUGAAAGGAACCAGGACUUUUUGGAGAAAUGGCUGUGGCAGAGAAAGUACAAGAUGAUUUUGUAACAUCUUACUCCAGAAGCACGCUAGAAAGCAAAGAGAAUGAACAUGAGGUAGCAGGAAGGAAUGAAAGAGCGAAGAUAACGAAGUGUCUUUGUGCAGGUUACCAGGGGCUUCUGUGGCAGUGACCUAAUCCAGUUGAUGACUCCAACCUUGAGACUUCCAGGUUGCAGGUGCACGUGAUAGCCUCCAAAUUACAGCAGUAACACUUACUGGUAUCCCAUGGAACUACUGCUCCUUUCAACACACUUUGGAAAUGUUAAUCCAAUUCAAUGAGCACAUUUUAAGGAUGAAGAAACGGAAGCCCAGAGAAGACAGCACCUAUGUCCAGGAAACAACAAGGUUCUCAAGACCUGGAGAAGACUCAGGCUCCUAGAUAAUAAAAUGGGAAACUGUUAAACACACAUCCAUCUUCAGAACAGUGUUAUCCUAAGUCCAAGAGGAAGCUUUCAAAACAGGAGGCCAGCCAAUCACAAACCUUUCUCCGAACAGACUCCCUCCUCAGCCCCAGACCCGGCUACUAAGGAAGGUGAUUUUGAAACAGAGAAAGGUGGGAUCUGGUUAGGAGCCAUCGCUGCUGUAACUUGUCUCAUCACGAUGUCAGGGCCAGAAGGAGAAGGGAAAUGACAACUCACCAGGAGAAACAGAGGGCUGAUGGCUACCCAGCAGAUCCUCCAAAACCAUCCAGGGCUGAAGCCAAGCAUUUCCUUCACAUCACUGCAGAACUGAUUGAUGCCUAAAAUCAUCCAAAAGAGAACGAGAUUGACUAAGAGAGGAACUAGACUGUCCUCCUCUCCCUUGACUCUCAGAGAGAGUAGCAGCUCUGGAGUUUCUCCACAGGAGGGGCUCAGGGGCACCAACCUGGUCUGAAAGUGGGACAGGGGACUUGUCACAAAAAUGCAUGUUAUAGGGCUUCCUAGGUGACGCAGUGGUUAAGAAUCUGCCUGCCAAUGCAGGGGACAUGGGUUCAACCCCUGCUCCAGGAAGAUUCCACAUGCCACGGAGCAACUAAGCCCGUGCGCCACAACUAUUGAGCCUGUGCUUUAGAGCCUGUGAGCCACAACUAAUUGAGCCCAUGUGCCGCAACUGCUGAAGCCCACGCACCUAGAGCCCGUGCUCCGCAACAAGAGAAGCCACGGCAGUGAGGAGCCCGCGCACCGUAAAGAAGAGUAGCCCCCACUCACUGCAACUAGAGAAGGCCCAUGUGCAGCAACGAAGACCCACCACAGCCAAUAAAUAAAUAAAUAAAAUAAAUUAAUUUUUUUUUUAAAAAGCAUGUUAUAGCAAGCAAAGCUCCUUCUACAUAGAGUGGGAGGACUGGUGGACUUUUGAGGAGGAACCUAAAGCCCCCUCUUGAUGCUCACACCUCCUUUCUAGGAUUUCAGCAUAUAUGUGCUGUUACUCUUACUGUGGAAAAGUUGAAUUUUGUCUAAAAAUGGUGAACCCACUUACAGAGACUGACUGACCAUAUGCUGGAAACUUUCAAGAGAAAAUUUUAACCACACUAUUGCUCAUUCCUAUAUCAGAUCAAGAUCAAGGCUCUUCUCUACAAAGUAACUGGCAUGGAAGUGAGAAGUGAGGACUCUGACUGGGGAGAAAUUGAGAAGGGUAAGGAAGGGUGCUCUGCAGUUGUUGCCCUGAAAGUGUCCAGCAGGUCUGUAGCAUCACACACUUUGAACUUGGUCCUGAAGUGCGGAGGGAGUGGGAAGGACUUCUUUCAAAUAAAAACAAAAACCAAAACCCUGGGCUCACAUGCAACUCAAAAUGUGGGACCCUCCUUCUUUAUAUUGUGUGUAAUGAUACACAUGCUGAAGCUGUUCUACUAUCAUAGAAACUAGGAAAAUAAAU